UGGUCAUCGGAUGCCUUUGUCUUCCCAUCCCAUAACCACAGCAGUGAAUCCAACGCGGCAACAGUUUUCUGUUGAGUGCCAACUCCACAUGAUUAGCCGUGGUUGUUUGGACGAGUUCCUAAGAAGCAUUUCCUGAGCUGGAGUGGAAAAGCGCUGUGACCGGUUCAUAAUGUCAGCCAUGAAAGGCGGCUGGAGUUUCCUAUGAACCCGUCACCAGUUUGAUGCUGAAGGAGAACUGCUGGACAAUGAGCAUGAUGCCAUCAGAAGUUCAUGGUUAUCUACAUCAAGAAUGCCAACUCAUCCUUACACAGAUGCCACAGACUGUCCUAAACCCUCCCAGAAGCAAAGUAAAAGCAAAGCAAAGAUUUUCUCAGUCCUUUGUCAUCUCUCUUUUCCCACACUCUUAGCAGACAGCCUUGACUUUUCCUGCUUUUGGAAAAUAAAAGACCCAAGAUGGAGACAUCUUGUGUUGUGGAAAAGAAA